GACUCUCGGCAACGGAUAUCUCGGCUCUCGCAUCGAUGAAGAACGUAGCGAAAUGCGAUACCUGGUGUGAAUUGCAGAAUCCCGCGAACCAUCGAGUCUUUGAACGCAAGUUGCGCCCGAGGCCACCUGGCUGAGGGCACGCCUGCCUGGGCGUCACGCC
rnacentral:rRNA from 1 species